GGUUGUAGCUCAGGGGUAGAGCACUGGCCUGGUACGUGUGAGAUCCUGGGUUUGAUCCUCAGCACCA
rnacentral:tRNA from 1 species